AACUUGGUUUGACCAAUCGCAUUUCGUUGGCGGGGGUUGUACCAUAAAUGUCGCGUGGCUUAUCGUUGGGACCCGUCGCCAGAUCGGCGCCACCGUGUAUAGCACCAGCGGUAUACUAGUCCACACUUUUGGCGGCAGCCGUCCAGUCUAAGGUCCAAUCCCCGAACCGAACGGUCGCCCGAAAUACUUAGCGAACGAGUGUGGUUAGCAGUUCAGUAGAGUGGCAAAAUGGACGCGCGAUUCAAAAGCAAUCUCGAUAUGAUCGGGCGCAAUGAGCCCAUCACAAGGAAAGCGAAAUUUUGGCAGAGUUACGUACGGGCCCUGAAAGGCACUGACGACAUCAGAGCUCCUGAGCACACUCACAGGCCCCGUAGCAUUUUCCGCUCGGAUUUUCCUGAGCUGCAAUCCUCCUCGUGGCCGUUUGGAAAAUCAAUCUUCGAAAACCCAAUUCACGCAGCCGACCGUAUUAAUGUUCCCGGAUACAGGUAUCUACCCGUGCACCGUGAGAUCUACGGAUAUUCGCCGAGGCAGCUGUAUCCCCAUCAGUACAAACCCGUAGAGCGCUUCACCCCCGCGAAACCAUUCGACGCUGAGAAAGCUUGGACCGAUCAUUUGAACCGAUUGGCGGACAUCGACAAGCUCUAUCCGAGCAAAUCGCCGCUUUUGGCUCGUCAUUUAAGCCCACCACUCUCUACGAAACGAUUGUUCGACAUUCACGGUAAUCUUGUGGACGACGACUACUUUCUGCCGCGUCCGUCUAUCCUGCUGCGUAAGAAGCCGUUCUUCGAUCUCCUGGAACCGUCACCGAUGGCGCCCAUCAGUGCGUUCACCCGGGACCCAUGGUGGUACCCAAGUUAUGCGCCCUAUAUUCCGAGCUACGCUCAGUAUCGUACGCCGUUUUAUCUGAGGGACAGCUACCUCAGUCCAAUUAAACGUAACUAUUUGUGGAGCCGACAUCCCAUCAGGCCCUUCGACUGCGUUAUCGCUACAAGAAUGUUCCUUAAUCCUCUCGGUAAUUAUUAAUUACCGCGCCGUUACUCUCCGUUCUCCACCGAGAAGCCGCUGACACAAUCUCUCUCGAACACGCGCUCACGUCUACUGAUGACUAUCUGGCAUACAAAGAAAGCGUGAAACAAAAAAAAAAGACGAAAAAAAAAAUAAUAUUCGAAAAAAGUCAACCUAAAAAAAGGAAGAAAAUUUGCAUCACAUCCUGAAAGAAUUUUGGCGUCUCUAUAUCACAGUGCACAUACUAUUUCCACGGAAUUUUAUUUAUUAACAAUUACCACCAUAUGACUUAUUGUACUGUUCAUCCGUGAUCUGUUUACGAAAUAAAAUAAACACUGCCAAAAUUUUACUACACAGCAUCAA
rnacentral:misc_RNA from 1 species